rnacentral:rRNA from 1 species
UACGUAGGCAGCAAGCGUUGUUCGGAGUUACUGGGCGUAAAGGGUGCGUAGGCGGUCCUAUAAGUAUGGUGUGAAAUCUCCCCGGCUUAACUGGGAGGGUGCGCUAUAGACUGUGGGACUAGAGUGUGGGAGAGGAAAGUGGAAUUCCUGGUGUAGCGGUGAAAUGCGUAGAUAUCAGGAGGAACACCGGUGGUGUAAACGGCUUUCUGGACCAUAACUGACGCUGAGGCACGAAAGCGUGGGGAGCAAACAGG